rfam:Ruminococcus sp. CAG:9 genomic scaffold, scf157
AAUAUCCAGGUUUCAAAGGCAAAAAGUCGUUCGUGCUUGCACGAUAAGACUUUUAGACUUGGAAACCGCCAGACAUGAGGAAGUAGCGAUUUACGAAGUAAAUCAGCGGAUUCCGAAUGGCUGGAGGAUUGCGGGAGCGAAGCGUAGCAAUCCGUAGAUAUG